GACGAACGCUGGCGGCGUGCUUAACACAUGCAAGUCGAACGGAAAGGCCCUGCUUGUAGGGUACUCUCGUGGCGAACGGGUGUGUAACACGCGGGUGUACCGCCCUGCACUUCGGGAUAUGCCUGGGAAACUCGGUCUCAUACCGGAUAUGACCUUCCCUGUUGUGUGGGGGGUGGUAAGAUUUAUCGGUGUGGGAUGAGCCCGCGGCCUAUCAGCUUGUUGGUGGGGUAAUGGCCUACCAAGGCGUCGACGGGUAGCCGGCCUGAGAGGGUGGACGGCCACAUUGGGACUGAGAUACGGCCCAGACUCCUACGGGAGGCAGCAGUGGGGAAUAUUGCACAAUGGGCGGAAGCCUGAUGCAGCGACGCCGCGUGGGGGAUGACGGCCUUCGGGUUGUAAACCUCUUUCGACAGGGACGAAGCUUCAGUGACGGUACCUGUAAAAGAAGCACCGGCUAACUACGUG
rnacentral:rRNA from 1 species